GUUCAGCACUAAGUCACUUUGUCUUUAUGGCAAAUGUGAGAUGCAGUGUAUGGAAUGUCAAAUUUCUAGUAUGAGAAAUUAACGAUUUAAGUCCUUCUUAAAUGAGGCCAUUUACCCAUAGAGGGUGCCAGGCCCGUAUAACGUUAAUGAUUACUAGAUGGCAUUUCCAAAGAGUCGUGUUGCUUGAUAGUGCAGCACUAAGUGGGUGGUAAACUCCAUCUAAAACUAAAUAUAACCAUGAGACCGAUAGUAAACAAGUACCGUGAGGGAAAGUUGAAAAGAACUCUGAAUAGAGAGUUAAAUAGUACGUGAAACUGCUUAGAGGUUAAGCCCGAUGAACCUGAAUAUCCAUUAUAGAAAAUUCAUCAUCAUGACUUUAAUAUUAAUAAUAUUAUAAUAAUGGUGUGCAUUUUUUCUAUAACGGACAUUGUAAUCUAUUAACAUAAAUAUAUUUAUCAUAAGAUCAAUGAUGCGUAAGUUUAUUCAAAUUAUUUUGCUUGCAAUUUAACAUAGAAUAAAUGCUCUUGAUUUGAUAAAGUGUUGAUAGAUUUAUUGUAUAUAGUGCUUAAAUAUUUAUAUUUUAUAAUAGCAUAUUAAUCAUUGAUUUUUAUGUUUAUUAUAUGCACUUAUAUGAUUAACAAUGCGAAAGAUUCAGGAUACCUUCGGGACCCGUCUUGAAACACGGACCAAGGAGUCUAACAUAUUUGCAAGUUAUUGGGUAUCAAAACCUAAUAGCGAAAUUAACAUAACUUUAAUGGGAUUAGUUUUUAGAUUAUUUAUAGUCUAUUAAUUCAAUCCCGGGGCGUUCAAUAGUUAUGUAUAAUAAUAUUUAUAU
rnacentral:rRNA from 1 species